UAAAAAGGAAGUCUAUAUAAGGAGGGGAACGAGCUUUGUUUAUAGCACAAGUGAAACUCCACUUUAUUGAACGAUGGGGUCUCAAAUGGGCUGCCUCUUUGCCACUCUUUUGGUAGUAUCAGUCUCUCUUAGCUACUUGCCGUUAGAAGCCUCCGCAAACAAAUACUACUACACAUCUCCUCCCCCUCCCAAGUACAAGUCUCCACCACCACCCCCGCCACCGGUUCACAAUUCUCCACCACCACCCCCGGUUUACCUGCCCCCGCCACCUCCUCCACCAGUCUACGUGCCUGCUCCGGCACCAACUCCAAUUUUCCCUUCUCCGCCACCUCCUGUCCCCAAGUCCCCACCACCACCUCACCCUUACGUCUAUGCAUCUCCCCCUCCUCCUUACUACUACUAGAAAGCGGCCAUGAAUAGCUCAUGCUUUUAUGGUAAUCUCAUUUAUUUUUAAAACUGUACAUGUAAAGACUAGUAGUUCAGAAUUACAUUAAGCAUUUCAAUUUUAAGCACCGUGUUCUGUUUAAUUGCGUUCCUAUUGAUUAAGUGACAAAUAAAAGAGAUUGAUUAAUUUGUUCUUGUAGGAGAGGCGAAUGGUAUCCGAAUAAAGAAAGCAAGGAUUUGAUGGAAGGCUUACUUGGAGCAAGAUAGCAAUCAAUCGAGUUGCUGCGUUUUAUUCUCUUUUCUCUUUGUUUUUUAAGAAAAAUAAACUGCCACACGUAGAAACAGAAAAUUAAGUUCUUGUCAUUUUCAUGCAUAUGGAUUGUUGCUGUGUGUGUCAAUCAAAUCUCCGUUGUGUCAUUUGUAAUUUUCAACCUUUAUGCAUGCAAAUGCGAGACCUCUUACGUAUAAUAAAAUUAAUAUACUUCCCAAGAUGGUCUUAUCUUGCGUUGACUUUUUA
rnacentral:lncRNA from 1 species